CGGUCCAUUAAACCCUAACGUCUUUCUGUUGCUCCCAAUUCCGCUUAGAAAACCUAAUAUCCCAAACAAGCUAAAUCAGCGCGCUUCAGAUUAGGGUUUCAGUUGCCUCGUUCAUGGACUCAGACGUCGACGUUUCCCGGUGGGUCCUCGAGCUCCUUAUCCGAGACCGCGAGAAGGAGUGCAUUGCCAAGAGAGUCCUCGCAGUUGCGCCAUUCUCGGACCAAGACUAUCGCUUGAAGAAGACCGUGCUCCUCCGAACCAUCGAGUGCGAUGUCUACGACGCUUUGGUCACUGAAACGAUGCUAGAAACGCUUGAAAUGAUCGAGGAUUUGGAUAUUAGCCAAGGCAUUGCGACCACGGACUCCAUGAAAGCCGCGUACUUGGCCGUCGCCACUGAGUGUACGGUCAAGUUCUUGGUGGGCCUCAUGGGAAAGCCGAGCGGGAAGUACUUGGAGGCUGUUGAUCGGAUUUGGAGAGGAAGGGUUGGGGCUUUGGAGCGGUCAGAGACGAGCCAGCUGAUAUCUGCCGAGUUGAGGCAGAGAAUGGACGAGGUCGAGGCGGGGGUUUGGGAUUUGAGAGUGUCGAAGAAGUUGUCAAGGAUGAACACGAGGAACGAUGCGCUGAGAUUGGUUGCGGUAUAUGUGAAGGAAGCAUUGGCGUUAAUGGGACCUCCGUUUAUUACUUGGGCUGUAAGAUUGAAUGUGCCCAAGGAAGUUGCCGACUUGGAGGGUGAUCAGAUUGCAGUGGCGAAAGAGGCUAAUGUGGGUGGUGGGCCUGAAGCGGAGGCGCAAACAAAGAAUGGGGCUAAUGUGGGUGAUAGGUCUGAAUUGGAGGCACAAACGGAGAAUGGGGCUAAUGCCGGUGAUGGGUCUGAACUGGAGGCUCAAAUGGCGAAUGCGGCUGAUGUUGGGGGUGAGUCUGAAUUGGAGGCUCAAAUGGAGACUGGGGCUAAUGUUGGCGGUGAGUCUGAAUUGGAAGCUCAAAUGGAGAAUGGGGGUAAUGUGCAAAUGGCUAGUGGAACUAAUGCGGUUGAUGGGUCUGAAUUGGAGAAGGAAGUGGUUAAUGAGACUAAUGCAGGGGAUGGGUCUCAGUUGGAGGUGCAAACUACAAAUGGGACUAAUGCGGCUGGUGAAUCUGUACUGGAGGCACAACUAGUGAAUGGGACUAAUUUGGGUGAUGGGUGUGAAUUGCAGGCGCAAAGGGUGAAUGAGGCUAAUGGGAGUUGUGGGUUUGAAUCGGGUCCACAACCGAUGACUGGGGUCCAAUUGCGGGAAGUCGGGGCAAGGCGCAUGCCACCUACUAUGAGCCGGGAUUUAGUUUUGAAUGAAAGGGAUUCUGGAUUCACGAACAGAGAAGUGCUCAGGUUCGGUGAUGAUCAGGUUCAUGAGAUAGGCGUGGGUUUGCCUAGUACGAAUAGGGAACUGGUUCUCAGUUUAGAUCCAACCACGAAAGAUAAAGAAAUUCAGAGGAGUGCGGGACUUAGAUACAAGCACCUUGCUCAUAGGCGCACUAGAGGACCGGUUAGGAUUCGGGACGCUGAAGAUUUGGGCACAGACUUAUCAAAUAGUAAAUAUGAUUCCCUGUCUACCCCUGAGGUUAGCAAUGCACAAGAAGCACUUAGAUCCAGUAUUUUGGAGCUACAAGCAGUAGUGACAGAUCCACUUCCAGAUGCUUUACGAGUGGCUGAAACCAUAAGAUUGGAUUUGGCAAUGAAAUCUGUGAAUGCAGGGGCAGAAAAUCUCUCUGUUGAGAAGGGUGCUGGACCCGUUCAAUCUCAUAACGAUAAUCUUGGAAAUAUGUCUGUUCCCCAAUCUAGUGGAAAAGAAAAGGAUGUACCAACUCCUCCUGUCAACCAGGGAAAAGGAACUGAGUCUGUUCAAGCAGAUGAUGCCAAUGUUGGAAAUCCGUCUUCCAGCAAUAAGAAUAAUGCUCCUCGACCAAUGACAGAUCCACUUCUGGAUGCUUUACAAGUGGCUGAAACCAUAAGAUUGGAUUUGGCAAUGAAAUCUGUGAAUGUAGGGGCAGAAAAUCUCUCUGUCGAGAUAGGUGCUGGACCUGUUCAAUCUCAUAACGAUAAUCUUGGAAAGGUGUCCUUUCCCCAAUCUAGUGGAAAAGAAAAGGAUGUACCAAAUCCUCCAGUCAACCAGGGAAAAGGAACUGAGUCUGUUCAAACUGAUGAUGUCAAUCUUGGAAAUCCGUCUUCCAGCAAUAAGAAUAAUGCUCCUCGACCUAGCUUGAUGGAACGUAAUAUUACUGCUCAUACUUACGAGUGGGAUGACUCAAUAGAUACUUCACAAGGAGCAAUGAAAGAUCCAGGCAGGCUUCACUUACCUAGCCCAAAGAGGAAUGCUGUUUCUCCAUUGAAGAAGUAUGAGAAUAAGAGAUUUACUAAGAGAAGAAAAGCUAAGAGAUGGAGCUUAUUGGAAGAAGACACCUUAAGGACUGGUGUACAGAAGUAUGGCGCGGGAAACUGGAAAUUUAUCUUGAAUAGCUACCGCGAGAUAUUUGAAGAGAGAACUGAGGUUGAUUUGAAGGACAAGUGGAGAAAUAUGACACGGUAGAGGCACAUGUGAAUAGUUUGCUACUCACGUGUAUUUUGGUCAUCUGGUACCUCAUUAGAGCUAUGAACUUUAUAAGUCGAUGUACUUCUUGCCGAUGCUGGUCCAAGCCAUUCUAUGAGGUUUGGUUCCCACAGCCACUGGUGGUAUUCCUGAGGUAAUAGUAGGUUGAGUUCUGGCUGCCCUGUGGUUCAUUUAGAACUUGCUUUGUGAGAGGAGGCUUAGCAUCUAGUUCACAUCUUUUUUAUUGGCGAUGUCGAUGUGGUGAGAUGGGCAUAACACCUCUAAAGAGAAAAAUGCAUUAGAACUCAAUGAAAUCGUAAUCAGGCUGACAUGGUCGAUUUUUCUGCCCAGAAUAUACCAGUCUUUUUCCAUCAGAAAAGUCAGAAGGAAAGAACAAGGAAAAUAAGUAACUUAAGGGGUAGAGCCAGCUCAGCUUAUUUGCCAAAUCCAUAGAACAAAGCAGUCAAAGAAGUUCAGAAAAGUUGACAAUACUGUUCUGCAAUUGGAGCCUUGCAUUGUUGAAGCCAGGAAUCUGGAAUUUUCUUUGGAACUGGAGACGUAUGUAAUUAGCGAAAUGCCAACAAAACCAAGCUUGAAUGUGUAUAAUUCACAAUGGGCUCGGGACAAGUGGAGGUUGAAAGAGUACUUCAGUAGCAAUAAUGAUUAGCUGCAUA